UACGUAGGCAGCAAGCGUUGUUCGGAGUUACUGGGCGUAAAGGGUGCGUAGGCGGCUUUUUAAGUUUGGUGUGAAAUCUCCCGGCUCAACUGGGAGGGUGCGCCGAAUACUGAGAGGCUAGAGUGCGGGAGAGGAAAGUGGAAUUCCUGGUGUAGCGGUGAAAUGCGUAGAUAUCAGGAGGAACACCGGUGGUGUAAACGGCUUUCUGGACCGUAACUGACGCUGAUGCACGAAAGCGUGGGUAGCAAACAGG
rnacentral:rRNA from 1 species